AUGCUGGCUGUUUUGCUUGUUCUUUUUUUACCUGGUCAUGUGGUCGGAAAACUCAUCACACAGUGGCCAGGAGAAACCAUUAAGAGAGUUGGAGAGAGUGUGGACAUCUUCUGCUACCAGAAUUAUACCACACUUGCCUAUAUGUUCUGGUACCAACAGCCUCCAGGAAAUGGUCUGAAGUUAGUAGCCAGUAGUUCUACAUGGAUGCAGAAGUCUUAUGAGGAAGGUUACAGUGAAGCCAAGUUUGAGAUAAGCAGAGACAAUGAUUACUCUGGGAUGAUGAUCAAGAACGUGACAUCCAAGGAUGCAGCCAUGUAUUUCUGCGCUGUGAGUGAUCACACCAGUGUGAAUAAUGAAAGACUGUACUUUGGCAGUGGGACAAAACUCACAGUCCUAGGGAAGAAUGAUGAAAUCAUACCACCAGCUGUGGCCAUCUUUUCCCCAUCAAAGCAAGAGAUCCAACAGAAGAGCAAGGCCACGCUGGUAUGCCUGGCCUCCGGUUUCUACCCCGACCACUUGAAUCUGGUCUGGAAGGUGAACGGUGCUAAGAGGACCCAAGGGGUGGGGACAGAUGAGUUUUCCAUGUGGAACGGGAGUACCUACUCAUUGACCAGCCGACUAAGGAUCUCAGCCCAGGAAUGGUUCAACCCUUUGAGUCGUUUUGAGUGUGUUGCCAAUUUUUUUAAGAAUGAAACAGUGGAAUCAAUACACAAAUUCAUCUAUGGUGAUGCUGGUUGUGUACUCACAGAAGAGUCCUACUUGCGAUAUGGAAAUUCGCUGAAGCUCACUUACCUCAUUCUCUGUGGCAAAGCCUUGCUCUAUGCAGCUUUGGUGACAAGUCUGUUGUGGACAGCCAAG